AGCUUCGUAGAUCAGCGGAAGAUCGCCGGGCUCAUAACCCGGAGGUCGACGGAUCGAAACCGUCCGAUGCUA
rfam:Sphaerulina musiva SO2202 unplaced genomic scaffold SEPMTscaffold_5, whole genome shotgun sequence.